rnacentral:rRNA from 1 species
UUGCACCUGGUGGCGAGUGGCGAACGGGUGAGUAAUACAUCGGAACGUACCUUAUCGUGGGGGAUAACGCAGCGAAAGCUGUGCUAAUACCGCAUACGCCCUGAGGGGGAAAGCGGGGGAUCGAAAGACCUCGCGCGAUUAGAGCGGCCGAUGCCUGAUUAGCUUGUUGGUGGGGUAAAAGCCCACCAAGGCGACGAUCAGUAGCUGGUCUGAGAGGACGAUCAGCCACACUGGGACUGAGACACGGCCCAGACUCCUACGGGAGGCAGCAGUGGGGAAUUUUGGACAAUGGGGGAAACCCUGAUCCAGCAAUGCCGCGUGAGAGAAGAAGGCCUUCGGGUUGUAAAGCUCUUUUGUCAGGGAAGAAACACCGGCUCUAACACAGUCCGGGAAUGACGGUACCUGAAGAAUAAGCACCGGCUAACUACGUGCCAGCAGCCGCGGUAAUACGUAGGGUGCGAGCGUUAAUCGGAAUUACUGGGCGUAAAGCGUGCGCAGGCGGUUAUACAAGACAGGCGUGAAAUCCCCGGGCUUAACCUGGGAAUGGCGCCUGUGACUGUAUAGCUAGAGUGUGUCAGAGGGGGGUAGAAUUCCACGUGUAGCAGUGAAAUGCGUAGAUAUGUGGAGGAAUACCAAUGGCGAAGGCAGCCCCCUGGGAUAACACUGACGCUCAUGCACGAAAGCGUGGGGAGCAAACAGG